CGUCACAACCUUCGACCAACGCUGGAUAUACUUCACUGGACUGUGCAUGGCACAGCACUCGAACGACAGCUACAUGGACACGACAGGCUAUAAAGCCGUCGCUCCGGCCAAUCCUCUUCAGUGGAUCCGGCAGCGGCAUGACAAGUGGUUUUUAUGGUAUCGAUGUGCGUCCCCGGCGAGCGACAACCACAGCCUGAUGCGUCAUCAGACAUUUGUUGCCGCUUACCCCUGCGCAGCCCAGUGCUGCAGCCAGAACAAUGUUGCCCGGCCACAUCGAAGGACAACGCUUGGACCGCCACCUCUUUUCCCAUGGAUCCGGCAUCGCCAUCGUCCCUGACAUCAUCGGAUCAACAGCCUUUAAAGACCGGGCUCUCAUCGUUCGUCUUCAGUGAGCAGGAAAGAGCGGCUACGAUGCGGGCGCUCCAAAUCUAUCUUUGCUUCUCGAUGCAGCAAUUUCAUUUCAAGAAAGAAGACCUCAGCGAACAAGUUGGUGCACUGCUGCUCCUGGGAGGAAAUAGACAGCGCGCAGAAAGUGACCGCGCCCAGUCGCGAUGCGUUGGACUUUAUACUGUGGUGGCAGGCCUACCCCAAUAGAUGACCUGCAAGAAAUCUUUGGGCUGCACAUGCCGGUAAUAUCAAGCCUGCACUCGCCAUUCCUCAGACACACACAGGAGACAAUCACUCCUGGCUCGGAUGCAUCGGUGAUCUCGCAGACGCUGUCACAAGGAAAGCGGCACAUCAGGAAAAGUGCCGGAUUGAUGGCACUGGUCGCCCUAUAUGCCACCCAAAAUGGAAUCAGCAGGUGCAUUUUUCGGGGAACAAGAUGGUACACUGCGUCAAGUACAGCUCCCUGAUAUGCCCCAAUGAAAUUCUGUGCCAAUUAGAUGGACACUUUUCAGGACGGCGGCAUGAAGCAGGCUGGUCAUGUGUGCACUCAAAUGUCACCCAAAGUAAGGAUUACCUAUAGGAUUGCUUCGCAAUGUAGUCGCUUAAGUGAGGAGCAGAAGUGCGCGAAAACCAAGGCAAUUAUUUUCUAGAGAAGCAGCAGCGACAUGUGCGUACUCGGGAUGAGAACAGUCAAAAGCUUGCAUGCACGCCACCUCUGAUGGUCAGGGUACUCAUAGGCUUUUAUGGUGUUCAUGUUUCAUCACAAGUGGCUUUGCGUGAUCAAAUUUUGCCUGUUAAACAAGCAGUCGUGCGUGACAGCACUCGAGCCAACAACUGAUUGGCACAUUGCAUUUUAUAACACAUUUUGCAAUAAAUACCCAUCGUAGAGCUUAACACGGCAAUAUUUGCAAGACCGCAAUGAAAUGUAAUUUGUAGUCGUGUACAAAGGAACAGUGAAAUUUUAAAACAUGUUUGCCACUGUGAACACAUUUCACACUGAGUAGAAGCGAAUGUGACAAAGGCUGGGCUGCACUUAAAAAAUUGUGCAAAAAGAGGGGAGAUACAGCAGUACACACGCGUUACUCAUCUUUAACAGCCGUAUUUUCUAUCUCCUAAAUACUUUAAGAAGUAAUGCUCAUAAUAAAGCUCUUUUUCGUAUUAACACAUAUCGUAACAUGCUCAUUUUAGGCAUUCUUCUUUAAAGUAUUCUUUGUUGGCAAUUUCCACUUGGUAUGCUUUUUUUUUUCGCUUCCGCUGGUAAACGCAUUUAUGGCUAUCGCACCUUUCAGCAUUCGUCACAGUUGUAAUGACAUUUGCUUCUUUUUCUGAGCCUUAAGUUGGGGGUGAAACGCAAAAACACCCAUGUACUUAGAUUUUGGUGAACGUUAAAGAACCCGAGGUGGUCAAAAUUAAUCUUGAGCGCCCCACUAACAGCCUCAUAAUCAGAUCGUGGUUUGGCACGUAAAACCCCAGAAUUCUUUUUCUUAGCCUUAACAUGUUCCGUAUCUGAAGUGAUGGUGACAGCUAUUCGUGGAGUGCAGCUCGUUACUAACAUUUGUGCACAGGUUCUGCUAAAUUAACGUUAUAGGCAUUUUGCCUCUCCUGUACCUUUCCCUUAUUACUAUAUGCCCAUAUUGACCGACCUAUUGGUCGCACU